rnacentral:SRP_RNA from 2 species
GCCGGGCGCGGUGGCGCACGCCUGUAAUCCCAGCUACUCAGGAGGCUGAGGCAGGAGAAUCGCUUGAACCCGGGAGGCGGAGGCUGCAGUGAGUCGAGAUCGCGCCACUGCACUCCAGCCUGGGCGACAGAGCGAGACUCCGUCUCAG